AUCAGCAUCACUUAUUUCGGAGGAGAAUUAAAUUUAAAGGACUGCAGAUACGUGAACACGAAAGAUAUUAUUUAUUUAUAAUUUAUGAGGACAAACAAGUAAAUUUACAUAGGAAGGACACUUUCAGUAAAACACAUUUGCUAAACCGUUAACAUGUUUAACAUAAAGAAGGAAACUAAUCGGAGUCUAAUCACCAGCCUUGCUGAUAUAGUCUUUCACCAAACGGCGUUAUAUCUGAUACGCCACAAAACAAUCUAAUCAGAAUUAUGAAACAUUCUCGAAGCGAAAGCACGAUAAUUAUAUGCAUUUUUUGUUACUAAUUAUACUAACACUAAUUUUUCGUCGCUUCGUAGCGAAAAAUAACGGACUUAACGUGAUCUUCGAAUGGACACUAAACAUUCCUAUCUCUUUAUCUGUUUUGUCUCUCGUUCUUUCGCUCGCUCGUUCGCUCUUUCUCUCUCGCGCGCUCUCUUGUUUUCAUCUUAUUUAUUCGACCGCUUUUUUCUUUCACUUUCAAUUCCUCUAUACGUAAUCUAUAAUAGCGUCAUAGUAAACUAGUAAGGUACAAACAGGAGUUUUAUACAUGGUUUCACGAGAGAAUACAUUAAGCUCAGGUCUUAUCUCUACUUUUACGAAAACAUGGUCCUGUGUGUGUCCAACUUUGCGAGACAAAUGUUUCGUUUGGAACCCUCCGGCGAAUCCUUUCUGUCAUUUCUUGAAAGAGUGAGCGGAAAUCGACGGAAAUCGGCGCGAGUUUAAGAAUGCAAUUUUAGACACGCACGCAAGACAAACUUCGCGACGUUUACUCGAAAAUGCUGACGCGAAAGAAUUACGCAAACUAAAAAUGGGAAAGAAACGAUUCGUUGAUAGAUGUCGACCGGACAACUACAAUUCAUCUAAUUAUCGAUAACGAGAAUACGAAAAUCCGUUGCUCAUAUUAGGCAUAUUUUACUAUGCACGUGUACUUACAUGUUAAACUGUACGUAUAUUCAAUUCGUUUCGCAAAAAUGGUCGACGUUGUUUUGCUUUGGGAAUCUAACUUAAAAUUAAUAUCGGUAUAUAAUUUGUGACAUCGAAAUUAAUAUUUUAUUUAUUGAGCAAGGAUCUAAAACAUUCUUUCUUCUUCUCAACUAGCGAAACUAAGGCUAUGACAUUCAUAUGAACGAUUAUUCGUGCACGCUGCUUCGAAGAUGAUAUAUACGUUUACUUUACGACGAGAAGUAAUUUAGAAGGGACUUGCGAUUGUGCAUGCUUACUUUCGUGUUUUUUUUUCUUUUUUUUAAGAAUCGAAAACACCAAAACGAUUAAAAAAGAAAAGAACAAGUAUGUUUUUUUAAACUAAUCAAAACAGAAGAAGAACGAAUCUAUCGAUGCAACAAAACGAUUAAUGCCCGGUUCUUUAAAACGAUAUUACGAAAACUCGUCGAAAGUUUUCUUCUCAACGUCAUGGAAAACAUCGUGCGUACAAUUAACGCUAAUAUUCUCUAGAAUUAAUAUAUAUUAUUAUCUAAGUAUUCUUUCAGGUAACAACAUCGCAAAAAAAGCUUCUAAAUGUCAAUAUUACACCGAGAGGUUAUGUGUUACAUAUUGCAAUUCUAUAAGUAGUCACUGGUCAAACAGUUUCCAUUAGAAACAACGUUUGUCUCUUGGAAUUAAACUAGUACAAAAGAAAAGAAAUACAGUUUCGAAGGAGAGGGGAAAGGAAAGACCUAAAACAACGGGCAUCGCAACAAUAUUUUUUACUAAGUACGAAAACUAGCAUUCUGCAUUUAUAUUCGUUACAGAAUUCGAGGUGUUUCCUUCGAAGCAGGUGCAUCACAGUUAUACAGUUUGUUUAGCGACUGGGUUUUCUAUCUAAUCGUAGUUACGCCUUACAGCCUUAAAGUCUAAUAUCAUAAUUUGCCCGUGUCCACGGGUACGGUAGGUACAAUAUUAUUGACAAUCAUUAAGACGGAUCCUACUAUUUAAGUAUAAUUAGGUACAUUUUGUGCAAGGUAAUCGUUGUGUGACAGAAUAUAGGACAAGUGGCUACGCACUCAAACGACUGAAGCGUCUUUGUAAAAUGAUGCCGUAUCUCUCUUUUUCUUUCUCUUUCUCGUGUGCACAUAUACGUCUCGCCUCUAUCUAUACUUUUCGAUCAUUUUGUUCGUUUCGUUCUUGUUUUUUUCCUUUGUAUUUCCUUCCGUUAUAGUCAGUAAUUGUUCAUUUCUCUCGAAAGACAAACGAAACAAGAGGAUCCGACUCGUCUGGUGUAUAAAGUAUAUAAAGGUUUCUACCACAGCCCAUUUAACGAUAUAUCAUUCAUAUAUAUAUAUAUAAUAUAUAUAUGUAUAUAAUAUAUAUUAUUGUUAUAUUAUCAUAUACGUAUCAUUAAUACGAUUCGUAGUGUACAUUGAAACGUAAACAUAUAUAAUAUAUAUAUAAAAAACACUAAGAACGACAGAUUUAAUUUUCUUUCCUUCUCUCUCAUAUCCAAGCUCACGCAUCUGUUACGCUAUUUGCUUCUCUGCUCUGGCCCUCUGGCUUCUUUUCCUUUAUAUUUUGCAACGUCCCUUUUUUCUCUCAUUCCGAGAAAUUUUUUCACCAUCAUCCAUAUAAUAUUACGUUUACCCGAAAAACUGUACGAUCCACGUUAUCGCGGUAAACAUCUAUUCACUGGCGCUUAAGUUAAAGGAUGCCGAAGAAUUCUCUUGUCUAAACGUCGAAGAAAGGGCUAAUAAGAAAACGUCGUUUUAAAGUCCUUAAAAGUUCUCUCUGGUUUAGUUGGAUUGUCGAUUCAGUUUCACUUGAGAAUAAAUAGUGCGACCUUUUUGGGUUAUUAGCGUUGUAAAAUCACAGCCCAAAAGCAUCGAAGAAGUUGAACAAACGAACAAGCUAGAGAGUCGAUCAGACACGACACGUGCGCCAAUCAUUAUUAUUGCCGUUGCCUCAUCUUCGAUUCGAGCAAACCUUUUGUUUUCGUUUUGUCACACGUAAAAAAAUAAUACGAGAGAAAUAAGCUCAAACGCAAACGGAAAAUUAUGAAAUUAAUCGAUGCGGAAGCAAAAGCGUACGCGUUGAUAUUAAAAAUUGGUCAAAUUGUUUCUUCUUUUUUUAAUAUUUAUAAGUUUUUUUUCUGUUUGUCGCUUUAAAGGUCUCAAUGGUAUAUUCCGGUUUUUAAAUUGUUUAUAUGUACGCAAUAAAAAAAAGAAAGAAGAAGAACCGUAUGCUGGUAAGUGACAUUUAAAAAAGUCGUUAAAAAAUGCUUUCUCGAGUAAUAUGAAAAUAUCCGAAUCUGCAAGCAAUAUCGGGAAAUAAUAUCAAUCAAAAACGCUUCAGUUGAGAUUUAAUCGAUUAUCCGAGAGAUUUCAGGAACACAAAUAAGAAAUUUGUAAUGGAAUUCUAGUAAAAACCACCUUUAUUGUACCAUUGUUCUAAUUCGUCCCAUACAAUAUCUGCGAAUCGAGCGUCAUCGCUUGGGCUAAAAUUAAUGAUGAUAUACCUCGGUUAAUGAUUCUCUCUUUUUUUCCGGCAGUAUAUAGUGUACUUUAUCGCAAUUAGUCUCCUGACACGAACCUUUUCUCUUUUAAAAAACAGUCGUAGAGUAACACAACGUUGAUACGAGUUAAGCGUAACGAAUAUAAAGAUUCAUCGAGUAUAGGCAAACGUACACGAUCGCUUGCGAAAAAACGACGACGAAAGUGAAUGAAUGUAUCUUUUCUUUUUCCUCCUCUUUCUCGCGUUUUGCGAUUCGGUGGCACUGUCGUAAAUAACAACACAUUUACACGAAUAUUAAUGCAUCCGUAAAAAAUUAUUUUGUGCAGUUUACAGAAGGUGAGAGUUACCGUCGUUUUUUUUCAAGAAUCUCUACAGUCUUUAGUGUAUGUAUGUACGUACGUGUGUGUAUAUGUGUGAAUGUAUAAUGUUCUGCACGCAUGACUUGUUAAAAAGAUGCACGCCGAGACGCAUAGCCAUUUAAGAUUUGAGCACUGUUCUUUCUUUUUUUUAUUUUUCAUCUCUUACCAUCUCAUCGUUCGACCACACUUAUAUAUUUUUCCAUUACAUAUCUUUCUCUCUCUUAAUUUUUUUUUUUUCGUUUAAUUUCUUCCGCGAUAUUAUCUACAUACGUUGUGAUACUUUGUUUGCUUAAAAUUUGAUACACAUGGACGCAAUGUUAAUGUUCAGUCAAAUUUUAAGCACCGCGCGAGAUAGCAGAAUUCGCUAUUUAAGUGUAACGGCUCGACAUAAUCCUAAUCGCUCGGGGCUCGUACAUCGAAGCAUAGAUUCGCGUUCUAUGAUCGAACGUCAUGACAAAAUAUGUCCGAUGGGAUCUGCACUUUGUUUCUCUCUGUGAUACGUAUCCACGUGUACCACGCGAGACGUUCAAAAUUCGACGAGUAUCCUUCGUAAUGGAAUCGCAGGCGAAUAGUAAACGUCUGUCGCGUGUACAUACGCGCGUGAGCAAAUAAUUAGACCCGAAACGUUCUGCACCCGCUGCGUAUUUCUUCUCUUCAUGGCAAGUGACACGAGAUUAUGCGAUGCUUCACGAGCAAAGUGCAACCUUGAUAGCACGCGAAUUCCGAGGAUUUUCCGAUAUGUUCGAAACACGAUAAAAUCGAGCUCUGUAUUUCGGCCUAUGGAAGCUACGUAAGCGAUGAUAGACUAGUGUAGUGAUCGAGUGAAAUUUUUCGUACCUAAUAAAAAUCACUGAGAUCGUUACGCGAAAAAUAAUUAUUCCUCUCUGCGAGACUUUUCGAAAAAGUUGGACAAAAAUUGUAAACCACUUUUACAUGUUGUACGUGUUAAAAUAAGAAAAUACGUUCAUAGAAAUAAGUAUCUUUAUAAAUAUAAUUUAACGUAGCAUUAAGAUCAGAUAUUGCAAACAUCGAAAUAGCGGGACUGUAGCGAAAAAUAAAUAAAAUAGUAAUAAUGUUAAUAGUAAAUAAAACGAAAAUAAGAGAUUAGUAAGAAUAUUUGUGCUAAUUUCGGUGCUUUAAACAUCUUUGAGCGACUCCGAAUAUCUUAUGGUAACUGAUAGUAAAAUAGUGUGUACGCGUGUAUCGGAACUUACGCAGAACACUUCCAAAGUACUUUGAAAUUCCUUCAUGCACAUAUAUUUACAUAAAUUCUUCUUUUCGCGCUCUGACUUACGCAUUUAUGCCGAAAUUUUUGCCCAACCUUCCUGAAGUGUACGCCUAAAAAUAAGACACUCAAAAUUCUUCUUCAAGAGCGUCGAUACCGGAUUUGCGAUCCUUUAGAAAUAGUCAGAAGUACAAGAAUCUUAUAAGCGGCGAUGAAAAGUGAAAUUCUUUCUUUCGCUUAGGUUCGAAAGGAAGUUCGGAGGAAAAUAGAAGAAACGAAAAACUGAAUUGAAGUCUUCUUUCGCGAUCGAGGAACUUUGUAAAAGAUCAAAUUCUUUUCCUUUAAAAAAAAAAAAAGCCCUCCAGGCCGUACGUCUGUAACAGUAUCCAGGAUCGACUUGCGCGACAAGUUUUCUAAGACCGAACUCGCAUUCUCUCUCUGUUUCUCUCUUUCUCUCUCGUUUCUACCUUGAUCGUUAUUACCAAAAAAUGUGCUAGUAAGAAAAAGCUAAUCGAUCUUCGAGUUACCACUAGAGAAACGUACACGAAUCUAUAGGUGAUUCCUUACAAAUGACGUCCUCAAUCAAAUUUACUAACCGACAACCGCAAAAACGGUAAAGAAAUCCCGCGUUUGGAUUUCGAUCACGCUUCCUCGUCGAAGUAGACUUUAUUCCGAUGAAGGAGAAAUCGUCUUCAACCGUUCCCGUCGCUAUCCUCCCUAGCGUUCCAAAUCUAUGUUAAAUAACUAUUGUAACGCGAUCGUUGUAUAGUAUUUGGUAUUUAAUGGUCCGCAAACCAAGCAGUAUUCUCUUCGCGAUGUCGAUGUUUAUUUAGACUUCAUCUUUAUUAUUUGUUUAAUUAUUAUCUCUCUUUCAUUAUUUGUUUAAUUUCUCGAUAAUACUCGACCAUCGUUGACCCGUUACCCUGAAGUUUGGAAUACUUUUUUUUUUGUUUUCUUUUUUGUCUUUUUUUCUUUUUUUGUUUUUACUUUUCGAAGUAAAACGAUUGUCUUCGUACGAACGAACGAACCUACGCGUAUAAUAUGAUGGCCAGGAGAUCGCACUUCUUUUUCUCGUUCGAUGAGGCGGCGAAAAGCUGGAUCCCGAAGGACCUCGACAAUUCGUUAUGAGCAAUCGUGUCGUCGAAACAGAAUGUUCUAUGUCUCUCGUAACUAUCCUCGAUUUACGCAGUCUCGAUCGCUCUUGUGUUACCGUUAAGAAAUAUUACAACGUACAAAAUGUGUUCUAUCGUGUAAACCAUCUAAAAUAUAAAAAAGUAGAAAAGAGCAGCAGUGACAAAUAACGAGGCAAUGAUAUAGUAGAGAGCGUUAGGACCAAGAAUAUCGGUUCUCCCGCCGUUGGUAUUAACGUUCGUUCCUCGUGGAACGUCUCAUUCUGGUGCCACCAAAAAUUACCAAGGUGGAAAAACUCAGGAUACGAAGAACGUUCCGAGAAUUGAUUUUUGCAUCGAUGACUCAGUUACGUGGAAUUGUUUUCGUUUUCAUUUAAAUUUCAGUAACAGCCGCCUCGUCACAUUUUCAUCGAGAUUUUCUCAAAUUAUCGAGAUCCUUCGUCAGCACCAGGAAAGAAUAUCGAUCAGGCCGAGCAUUUCUUAUGCUUACGUGCCUCUCUUCUGGUUGCAUUUCCCUGAGAACUUUCAACCUGCGAUCUAAAUUACUCGCUGAACAUUCUAAACAUCGGCGAUACAACGCUGCUUUUAUUUUAUACGUUUCCUCCUCUGUCUUCUCUCUAUUUUUUUUUUUUUGUUUUUUUCCACUCUCACACUCCCCCCUCGUUUUUCAUUUUCCUGGACACUGAAGCGUACCGAUGAUUGCGACAUUCGAUCGCUGAAUUUGAUUGAGGAUCCGUAGCAGCGAUCCAUAGUUUAGAUAUUAGCGGCGAAAGCGACAAUUCUUCACUGCUCUUACCACUUAUGCAAUUUUGCAUACGAUUGUGUCCAUUUUUUUUCUUUUUCUCUGUUUGUCCAUCAUAUAUACAUAUACAUCAUGUAAAGCUAGUAUCUCGCGAUAGUAGCUCAAAAGCGAAGAGAAAACGUGAAAUUGAAAAAUUCGUUUCUUCGGGUAAUAACGUCGAACGCGUUGGAAUAGAAUAUUAUCGUCGCUUACGCGAAAGCAUUAUUAAGCUAGAAAACUUUCUAGAGAUACUACGCGGACAAUGUUCUUUUGCAAUACGUUCAACGAAACAAAGAAACGAAUUUUCUGAAUCGUCUUCCAUUUAUCGUUUAGCCCCGACCCCAUAGACAAGAAGAUAUAUAAUUAUUCAUUUGCAUUAAAUCUAUCAAUAGUUGUGAUAUCUCCUUUUAACGACACGAAUGAUUCUCAACGAUUGCGUUUUACUUGUUUCCUUCCUUUUUCUUCUGUUUUUCUUCUUUUUCUCUUUUUUUUUUUUGUUCAACGCGAAACAAGUAGAAUUAUGUUAAUCAUCAACCUACUGGCAAGAUAACGCUGACACUCGUCAUCAAUCAUCGAUAUGUGACGUGUUACGGUGCGCAAACAACGUUAAAACAAUCGUCGCUGGUAUAAUCGAAAGGAAAAUAAAUAUAACUUUUCUACUAUAAUUAUCUAUACUGAUUAAAUACGGUAAAUUAGCUAAAUCGAUUAACGAAGGAAAGCAGGAAUAUAACUUUGGCAAAAUGCGUUUGAAACAUCGGGAAGAUGCGAAACGUAUUUCCGUUUUGUUCAUUGUUGUUAAGCAACGAAAACGAAAGAAAAUAUUUCAGUUUUAACGUAUACCUUUGAUCGAUAAUAAUACGAUAUCCUAUCGAGGAAUUAUUCUAUGAAUUAUCGUAAAUAUGAAAUCCUUAAGCUAAGUCGAUAUAUAAAGAAAAAAGUAAAAUGUAAAAGAAAAAACAAAAAAAAGAAUACCACAGGCGAUAAAAUCAAAGAGACAAACGAAAAAGAAACGAGGAAGGAUCGUUGACGAUACGCGUAUAAUUGUCGCGUAAUUUCAUUUUUUUUAACGUUCUCUCGCACGAGAGAAACGUCGAAAAAAGAUCGCUCAGAUUAUUUACAAUUAAACGCACCACCCCCCAUCGACGCGUAUUGCACGAAUAGAAAAUUAUAGUAUACGCGUCUAGGAUUAGCGGAGAAUUAUGCUAAGAAUUUGAACUAACCCAUCGUUGCUCGUCAGCGUCGAUAAUCUCCAAAGAGUUCUCGAUAAUAGAUGCAUUAACGAGCAAACAGUGAUUCGAGUAUCAGCGGCAAAGUAGCGAACCUCGCCAGAGGUUUGACAUCGAAUAUUAAACGAUAUCUAAGAUUUGUCCGUCUCCUACCAGCGAAAUUUCCCUAAACGCCGUGUUCACCGGCUAUUUCGAAUUUCACAAAUUUUCUUUUCCUUGUACACGCGUACAAAUAUCAUCUAAUUUAUCUAAUCGUCCGCUUCCGACGUUUUACUACGAAUUACUCACGUAAAUGUCCACAUAUAUGUAUAUGCAUAUGUACGUGUAAUAUGUUAUUUAUCUAUUAAUCGUUUACUAAUCGUUACUAAUUAUCGAUUUCGUCUUCUCGUUCACAACUCUACUCGCCUAUUAUCUCUUUCGAAUCUUUGCGAACUAUCGCUAACAUCGAAGUAACUAAACUUUACUACCUUCUUUCCUAAUCAGGAAUUACAGAUUCUCUCUGUAUCUUUGUGAUUAUAUGUGUUCCCUACGGUCCUUGACUUCUCAUAGUAUCAGAAAUACUCAUACGUAAGUUCUCGGCGUUUGCUCCUCGAGUCUAUCUAUUUUUCACAUCGAUAACACGACGUUCGAUAUUGAUAUUUUAUCGAUCGAGUAAUUCUAUUCGAUUGUAGUACACGAGUUUAUAAGAGCUCAUCGAUAUCUUCUGAUAAAACGAUUUACAAUCGUUAAUUCGAAAAGUACGAAAUUGCUAUCACCGUGGAUUAGUCGGUUUUCGAACUGAAUAUUUUAUCUAUCUCCGAGAUAAGAUAAUGUUUUUUUUAUACAUAUACAUGUGCUUCAAUUACUGCACUAGAGAAGUUGUUUGUUCGAGUGAAUGAACGCGUGAGACAUGUAGUUUCAGAUCUCGAGAGUUCGAUACGAUCGAGUGUAAGUUUCGAAUGGAAUCAAUCGUACAAAUCGUACAAACAUUCGAUAAAAACGUUUCUGAGUUGUUGUCCGCUAAACAAUGACUUAACGUUAUUAUUACUAAAUUAUUACUAAGUUACCGACUGACGGAUAGGAAGAUAGCGGCAAAAGCACAAAUACAUUAGAAGUUUGCACCGAGACUUCGAAUUAUAAGUACAGAUUGACUAACUGUGUAAAAUGGUUUACGUAAGAAAAUUUUUCAACGUCAAUAGGUUCAUAGAUCAACUUAAUCUUCUCACCGGUUUAUUUACCGCUUUAAUUACAUUAUCGCAUAAUGUAAUUAUCGAUGUAUUGUUAUAUAAUACACAAUACAAUUAUCAUUAUUUCCAAAGAUUUAUUUAUCUCAAUAAAAUAUUUGCUCGAUUAUAUAAUUUAAAAAACAGUAUAUUAAGUAUUCAAUUUCGACCACAUUUUUAUAAAUGACGAAAGAUGGUAAAGGAAGGUAGAGAGAGAAAUAGAUACGCGUUAACGACAUACCUAUAAAUAAGAAAUAAAUACUUUUUACUCGCUCUUCAUAGCAACCUUUCUCGAAAGGUAUAUUGCCUUAUAUUGGCAAUCUAUACCAAUAAUUUCGAAACAAGUUGCACACGCGAUAGGCCUCUAUGUUUUGUCUACAUGUAAUAAUAAAAACUACAAAAAAGUUGCAAGGAAAGGGACGCAUCGUCCUCCUGAAGUCUCUCAAACAAUGUUGUCGAGAGCGAAGUCAAUUUUCCAAUCCACUAAAUUCGCGGCUUUCAAGAAUAUUUGAAAGUUCCAGCACCUCGAACUUGUCGAGUCAAGCUCUUAGGAAGCUUCUAGACGGAAACAAAUGAAAUACCUAUCGCUAGUUUGUCACACCUAAUAUUAGAAACUUUCUAAGCUGUAGCAGAACCACCUCUUUCUUUGUCGGAUUUCAAAGAAAGGUAAAGUCACACCGAUAUUAAAUACAGAGGCUUCGACAGAGCUAGUCAUUCUAACACGAACAAUACAUCCUCCAAUACUAUGUUACCUACGUACAAUUUCUUUUUUUUCUCUCUAUAUUAGUAUCUUUUCCUUUGAACGUACACUUAUUGCAUAUUGAACUUGUUAUUAUAUACUUGUCGUUAUCUCUUCCCUUGUUUCGAUAUUUUACAGAUUUUUAAUUUAACUCUUGAUUGGAAUCAUUGGGAUUUGGGAGAUCCACAAGAGUUUCCAUCGAUUUACUUUACUUAAUUUUCGAGUAUUAUUUUAAUUUACGAGAUAGAAAGGCGACGAACACGAUCGAUGAUCGUAUUUAUCGCGCGAGACAUAGAAUGCAAAUUAAAACGAAAUAUUCCGAAAUUAAGUAACUCUUAACUCGGAUCUAACUGAAGCUUCGUUACCUAUAACGACAAUCCUCAACUUGCGAAAUCGCCAUCCCCUCUCCGCUGACGUGACGGUAGUGUGUAUAAUACGAUUUAGAAAUCUCUUUCUUAAUUUAAUACAAUCAUUCUUACUUUAGAUAUUUGUGUUUUGUAAUACAGUUUCUACUUGAAAAUCAUGAGCGCCAGUAGAACCAGAAAACCGAAAGAUCAUACCGAUCGCUCUAACGAGUAAUGGGAUGAAACAGAAAAUAUAUAGGUAUGCAAGAUAUUGCAGACAUUCUUGAGGAUGUUGACUUUAUUACAGAAGCUACGUACUAAUGAGUCGUUAAUGUAUCAUUAACAACGAUCCCGGUUACGAAGAAUAAUUAUCUAUUCGACGUGCUGAUGAUAAAAUUUGGAGAUUUUAGAUAGCUUUUAAUACGUUUUCACAAGCUCGAUAGUUUUUCUCGUAUAUUUUAAUAUUUUAUCAAUCGUGUGGAAAUAAUUUGAUUGGAAAAAUCGUAGUAAAAGAAAUUAAUGAUAUUCGAAAUAAACUCGAAUCUGCUAUGUAACGCACACUCGUCAUAGAGACAGAAAAUUACAUCAAGAAUUACGAUCAAACAAUUUGACACGAUCGUCAAAGCGUAUACAUUGUCGAAGAUUACAUGGAAAAACGAAACUGUUGUCACGGUAAUUAUUACGCAAAUACGAUUCUUUGCACCAUCUUUGAAGUUCCUCUGAAGCUGUACUGGCGUUCGAAGGUACGCGAUAAAAAUCGUUAACUAUCGUACAAAUACUAUCAAUAGCAUUCCGUCUAUAUAUGAUCGAGGAUCGUUCCAAGAAAAAUAUUGCCUUUUAAAUGGGCAAAUACCCAUAAUUUAUCCACGUUACGUAAGUGUGUGUAUAUCUUAGGCAUACAUGUUCACUUUGUAGGAAUGGGUAGUUUUGAACGCAUCGCGUUUCCAUUAGUGCCAAACAGUUAAAUGUUUUCCAUGGCGAAAUUGUUCUAUUGGUCGAUUACUAACGUAUUAUUAAUCAAUGGUGUAAACUGCUCAGCGAUUGAUAACCGAGACACCUUUAUUGACUAUAUAUCGAACUAUUUUAAUCGAAUUAUAUGGGAACUUAAUUCAAUUUCACGUGGAACUAAACACCGUGAUAUUCGUAGAAUAAAUGUGGAUAAGAGUUAACGUUCAGGCAAUUCGUGCACUGACGAAUGCUACAACGAAUCGAGAACGAAACGAAGACUAACAAGUGCAAAGUAAUUGACACUCGCCAAUUGGAAUGACCUGGACCAACUGACUCUGGCUACUCUGAAAUAAAAAUCUACACGCUUGAAAAUAAAAAUAUCAGCUCGAGACAGUAUUUAAUAUCGUUUAUAAUAUCUAUUAAACUUAAUAUAUUUAUCCUAUUAAAAAACGUAGCUAGAAAUUCUUAUAAAAUUACCCAAUAAUGUUCCGUGUCUAUCGAAGUAUACAAAUUAACGAGAUGCUUGAACACUUGAAAGUUAUUUUAUAGUAUUAGGAUAAAGAAUAGAAGUACAUGUAUAGUAAGGUAUAAGUAAAGAAUAGCAAAGAAAUGAGUGUUGUAAAAUACAUAAAUAUCAGAUUAACAAGUUUGCUAUUUGCCUCAGGAAAUAUAUGAAAACUGCGACACAUCAAUUUUGGCGUGUACUGGCUUAUUGAUCUCGUCGAUAUACGUUUUGUGCCAUGGUCACAGCGUAGCACGUGUCAGAUUUAAGAAAACGAUAGGCAAUCCGAGGUGAAAUAAUUCCGAUUUACGAGAGUUACGUUAUUCGAGAUCUCAGGAAUAGAAAUCUAUUCCCGAAGAUAGAUUUACAGCAAACUAAAAUCAGAGCAAUUGUGAAAGAAUAAUUGCAAACUGACAGAAAGGCAUGAAUUCGGAAUUUUUUCGAGCGUUUUAGAUUUUUACAAAUAAGUUAUUAUAGCCAAAAAUGUAUGAAAGAAUUCUAGAUCCAAAAGUACGUGAACAUGACUGUACGAGUAUCUCUCUUACAAUAGAAAAAUAAUCACAAAAAAAUCGAAGCAAUUUUGGCAGUGAAAACAAUUUCAAAGGAAAAAUGGCUAGUUGUUCGACAGCUUUUUGUUUAAACGUUAGCAAUGAAUGAAAUGAAUACUAUUCGAGAUUAAAGUAAGCGUGUGGAAUAAGCUUGAAGGAAAAGGGAAAUGCAACCGCAAAUUCGAUAAGUGAAAAUUGUAUAUUAAAAAAUUGAAAAUCGAAGGUAAUAACGAUAUUUAAUAUUGUCGGUUCUAUUUCGAAAUUCUAAUCAAACGAGGAAUACUAAGAUAAAAAAGAUCGUAGAACACGCGUUUUCGGAGUGUAUCUCGAAAUUAGACAAUCGAAGAUGAAUCACGUCAAAUUAUAAAACACUAACGAUUUAUAAAAUUGAAUUGUACGUUUGAAAGAAAGAAAAAAGAAAAAAAUUGAACACAAAAAUUGAUCCCGAUAUCAGUCGUACAAAAUACGUAAUAAACGAAAUUAAACACUGUCUAAUGUUGCGCGCUAAGCUAAUUCGUAUAGCAAUUACUUAUACGAUUGAAAAUGAAUUAUGCGGACCCUGUACUGAUCCUAAUUAUCGUUUGGAAUUUUGGGGAAUAUUAUCCCAAUAUAAGCGGAACGAUUUCGCUAUUAACGUCCUAUGUAUCUAUCGGCAAAGAAAUAGUUGAGUCUUAUGAAUAUCCACUUAACGUCUUGAGAGUCUCGUGAGUUAAACAUUGGUCGGUUUCUUGUCUACUUUUCUUCGUUAUUACUUUGUCUGCUUUAUAUACAUCUCUGUAUGGACGAUUAAGACUUUUCCUAUGUAACUCCUUGUUGCCUCGUGAGCGUUCGCAAAAUUAGUUGUAUACUCACAUACACGAGCAUGUGAACGUACAUAUACGGAAUGUACAGGAUGUUUCGCUAAUUUUACACACACGCAUAUACACGCAUACACACGCAUACCUUUUACUACUUAGAACGUAAUUUUAGCUUUUACGACACAUCGAAUUAUUCAGUAAAUAAUAUCAACAUUAGAUAAAGUACAAGUAUGUACAAAACUGCAAAAUAUAGCAGCGUGAGAAGACCUAAUGUAAGAGAAGACUGGCAAGAGAUCAGGUAGCAAGGAGAAACAGACGAUAUAUUAUCAGACAUAUUUGUACCAGUAUGCAACUAACCUGAUAAAACCUGCUUUUUCAUACGAUCUCUUUUUAUUUAUUAAUUAUAACGCGUGUUAAUUAAAGCACAAACCGAAUCGGAAAUAAUCUCAAUUUAUAAAAAUUCAAUUAUUCUCUUGACGAUAUAAACAAGCGUUCAACAUACCGAAAUUUCACCGACUAUUUCAAUUAGAAGCAACUCAGACGUUUACGGUCGGAAGUUCAAUGGAAUAAAAGUUCAUGUGAAAGAAAAGUAUCAUUGAGGGUAUCAGUGAAACAACCUGUACCAGUACAUGUACACGCGGUGGAUACAUAUAUAUUUAGCUAUUAUAGGUAGUUUAUAAUAUCACAUGCAAAUUUAAAUAGGAUUGUCAAACACGUAUCUGUAUAGAUAGUGUUCCUAUUCUUAAUGAUGCUGCGUAAGGUAAAUACGAUACGAGGUAAUCACUGAAUACGUGCGCAUGCACAUAUAAUAUGUAUAUAUAUAAUAUGUAACUUCACGCGAGAGAAAGCUUCAUUCGUGUUCUUUUCCAACAGGAAGAAGAAAACAGAAGUUGUACACGCAUAGAAGAAGCUGGACGAAUGCAAAUGGCGCUACUCUUUCUUACGUGAUCUCUUCUAUUCUCCUUUUUCUAUGCAAGUGAAAUUCAUCCGCAACGUUUGAAGAAGUUGCAGCCGGCAAGAGAUUUCCUAUAAUUUUACAGAAUUUUGAUAAAAAGCAUCCGCUUCUCUGUAUUACGAUUAAUGAGAUUCCAAUGUUUCCGCGACGAACAAUUCAGUAUACUGAUCAACGUGAAAAAUAACAUAAUCAUUAUUUAUAUCGUAUUAUUAUCCUUUUACGUUAACAGCUUUCUAUGAAUUACGUAAGCGUUAGAAAUUAAGAUAGAUAUCGCAAUAGAAAUGGCAAAAGAUAAUGAUCGUGUACAGUAGAAUUUCCUUUGUCUAAACAUUCUCUUACGAGUAUUCGAAGUUAUCGUAUUCAUAUUUUCGACAGAAAAAACGUUUAGUUCUUGAAAAAAAGACUUUUAUUAGAUCGUUUUGACGAUAAGAAAAUUAAAUGUACGUUGAAUCAAGUAAGUUUCAUAUUUUUUAAUUUUGUUCGAAACCUUUAGAAUUGAAUAAUACCGAUAAAUUUUGAUUUUAUACCGAAUAUACAAAUUGCAACUUCAUCUUAACGAUAGUACGUAAACCGAUAUGCUAAAUACUGAUUAUUUCAUUAUGUGAAUAUUUAUUUUUCCAAACGCUUUUGUCUCCUGUACUUAUUUCAGAUAACGGACAUUUUACUGUCUUACUCAUUGAUAAAUUGAAACGUUGAUAAAAUGCAAACCGAAGUCGAACAUGAAUAUUUAAAAAAAAGAAAAUGGGUUAUCACAUAACGUUUUGUAGACUAGAGGAAAUAGCGAGAAAAAUUAUAUCGCGACACUUUAUUCACAAAAGCUACAAGAAGCCUUCGAAGAGAUCGAGUGUACUAGCAUAGAUAAUUCGGAUGAUUGCACGAUAUUGGCAAUUGUUCUGGCUAAGUACCAUGGGUUAAAUGUUAAAUGAAACACUUAUCAAAAAACGAUUCGCGAUAUGAGCGCGAAUAUCGCUAACGUAUAUCUCGAUGGUUUCAGAAUUUUUCGAAGAGAAUGUUUCUAGCCGAUACCUCACAGUUAUAAUUGGACGUGUAUAUUUAUCUAUCGAUAUCACAUUCCAAGUUAUAGCGUAGAACAGCGGUAAAAGCAACUGGCUGAAGAGAAAAUGUCGAGAACAGAAAAGAAACGUCGACGUUAAAGAAGAAGAAACUAACAAGAGUUGACUGCGUUCAUCGUGUUCUUACCGCGAUAAGAAGGGAAGAAAAGGCAGGGGACAAAGUGAAACGUAAACGAAAGAGUAUCAACGUAAAGGUAAUGGGUUUUAAAUUCACGUACUGCCCAUUUCUGAAAUUAGAUGAAACGAAUAAGUGAGAAAGGAAAGAGGAAAAGAGAAAGAAGGAAAGAAACAAAGAAGGAAAGACAAACAACGAAGUUGCGAAGAAAUGCAAAUGUUCCUUCGUGUUAAUGAAAAAUGAGGUUCUCAGAUAUGCUGAUAUACGUGGAGACGAUGCUCGACAUGGUCCCCAAUGAUUAUGUGUAAGCGCUAUGUAAAAGCGAGUUAACAGUCUGUAUGUAUAUCUUGCACCUUUCGCAAGACUGGAUAGUACCGGGCCCUUCUCCGUCAAAAGGUUGUCUUUGCAGCCGAGCGAUUGCUUUCAUUUCAGUACAGUAAGUUCGAAGACGCGACGCCUCCUAUAUCUUCCUUUUAAUAAUUCACGAUGUAAUUAUAUCGUUUGAAACUUUGUGCCUACGUGUAAAGUCAAUAAACUUUAUUUCUGCUUCCUCGAUACCGACCCGUAUGGAAACGCGUUCGUCCAAGUGGCUAAAACAAUCAAGAAACUCAGUUUCACGUUACAUAAUAGUCAUUCUUUAGAAUUUGCGUUUCCAUCGGUGAAAUUCAAAUUUGUAUCUUUCAACCUGUAAAAAUAAAUGGAUAUAAUUGAUAAAAUUAUCAGUCAAUACGCGAGUGGUCUCGAGCAAAGGAGAAAUACGAUACCGAUAUAAAAUCUUUUUGUAAAGCUUCAACAAUUUUGCGAAACGUGCCAAUAUAAAGGAACAAUGUAGUCGAAAAUCUGAAACGUUGUUUCGUUAAUGCGAUCGGCAACAAAGACAGCCAGAAAAUUGUAUUCGUAACAACAACUAUCGCUAGAAACUAAAUUAAAUACUUUGCUACUAAUGUCUCUCCUGCCUAAGAUUGAUAUAGAAGUACCGGAGAAAUUAGUCCAACACACCGUUUUUCUCCCCCUUUUAUCAUUGGGAAUCACUACGUACACAAUGCAGCUUAAAUGGGAGUUAACGGAUAUAUGUACAGAGAUGAUUAUAUUAAAGCUUCACCGAUAUUCGAUAACCAA